rnacentral:rRNA from 1 species
UACGUAGGGGGCAAGCGUUGUCCGGAUUCAUUGGGCGUAAAGAGCGUGUAGGCGGCCAUACAGGUCCGUUGUGAAAACUCGAGGCUCAACCUCGAGACGUCGAUGGAAACCGUAUGGCUAGAGUCCGGAAGAGGAGAGUGGAAUUCCUGGUGUAGCGGUGAAAUGCGUAGAUAUCGAGAGGAACACCUGCGGCGAAGGCGGGUUGCUGGGCCGACACUGACGCUGAUGCGCGAAAGCCAGGGGAGCGAACGGG